UGGCAACAAAGAGCUGCAGGAAAAUACUUGCAGAUCUACAAAUGUGGCUUGGAAAGUCCAGAAGUCCCUCGGAAGAGUUAAUUGCUUAAACAGAAUCAGGUGAAAGUGAUUGAUGCAUGGACUGGCUUGGAGUGAGUC